AGGGGAGAGGCAGAUAGGAAUGCGGUUGAUUUGAAAUCAGUUGUAGGGGGUUCAAAUCCUUCCUCCCUUG
rnacentral:tRNA from 1 species